UUAUUUUUCAAGCGAAGACAGUUUGGUUGAUGUGGAGAAGUUUUUGAAAGUAGGGAUAUGACGAAUGAGAUAUUCUGAUUAUGUUGUGUUGUCAUAUCUCAGCUCAUUCAGUUUUAUUUAAGAGGUCAUUUGUAGUUCCAGAGUGGUGGUUAUGUUUCUUUUUCCUUUUACUAUUUCAUUUCGUUUAUCCUAAUAUCAUAUUUUGGAAAAAUCCUUCCAGCAAACAACUAUGUUAAUAUUGUUGUACGAGAAAUUUUUAUAUUAGUGUCAAUUUGUGGAAUUUAUAUUAUUUAUUUUGGUUUGUGAAAUUUAAAUUUCGUCAUGUGGACAAUAUUUAGUUUAUUCAAAUUGUGUAGCCAGUUUAUUAUUAUUUUUGGCUUAUGAGAUUGUCCUGUUCCCAGUGUUUCAUCAAAGUGUGUGUGGUAUAAAAAUUUGUAUUGAAGCGCGGGGAAUCUCUGCCCUGCUUUGGUCCACAAAUUUUAUAUGGAAAUUGAUUUUUCGGGUACUGUGUUGUUCUUAUAUGUUGCCUUAUCGUCUCACGAUCCAAACAAAAAAUAGAUUUGUAGUGGUCCUGGGUGAGAUGGAUUGUCCAAUGUGAGUUAUCGAGAUAGGAUUCUAUUGAUUGGCCAGUAGCUUCGACACGUAAAUACUGAUUCUAUUAG
rnacentral:lncRNA from 1 species